rnacentral:rRNA from 1 species
CCUACGGGGGGCAGCAGUGAGGAAUAUUUUUCAAUUUUCUUAAUCCUGCCCCCGCCCCGUCGCGUGCAGGAUGACGGCCCUACGGGUUGUAAACUGCUUUUAUACGGGAAUAACGCGCCUUACGUGUAGGGCUUUGCAUGUACCGUAUGAAUAAGGACCGGCUAAUUCCGUGCCAGCAGCCGCGGUAAUACGGAAGGUCCGGGCGUUAUCCGGAUUUAUUGGGUUUAAAGGGAGCGUAGGCCGCAUGUCAAGCGUGCUGUGAAAUGUCCGGGCUCAACCCGGGCCUUGCAGCGCGAACUGGCGUGCUUGAGUCCGCGGACAGCAGGCGGAAUUCGUCGUGUAGCGGUGAAAUGCUUAGAUAUGACGAAGAACCCCGAUUGCGAAGGCAGCUUGCUGCAGCGGAACUGACGCUGAUGCUCGAAAGCGCGGGUAUCGAACAGGAUUAGAUACCCGGGUAGUC